rnacentral:rRNA from 1 species
CCCUUAGAUGUUCUGGGCCGCACGCGCGCUACACUGAUGCAUGCAACGAGUUCUAUCCUUGGCCGGAAGGCCUGGGUAAUCUGUGAACGUGCAUCGUGAUAGGGAUAGAUUAUUGCAAUUAUUAAUCUUGAACGAGGAAUUCCUAGUAAACGCAAGUCAUCAGCUUGCGUUGAUUACGUCCCUGCCCUUUGUACACACCGCCCGUCGCUCCUACCGAUUGAAUGGUCCGGUGAAGCGUUCGGACCGUGGCCUUUGGACGGUUCGCCGUCUGUUGGCUGCGGGAAGUUCGUUAAACCUUAUCAUUUAGAGGAAGGAGAAGUCGUAACA